rnacentral:lncRNA from 1 species
CAUCUCAAUUUAAUCCAUUUAAAAUUCAGGCUGUAACACAACGAAAUGUGGAAAAAGUCAAGGGUGUGAAUACUUUCUGAAGGCACUGUAAAUAGUGUGCCACAAAAUAUUCCAAGUUUGCAAAUGUUUGCCACUACUGGUGAAUCUGCGGCAAACCUUUAUUGCCACUAGAGGCAAACUGGUCAUCAUAAGCCGUUUCUGAUGAACACAUGAGUUCCAAGACAAGUAACCGUUGACGACCAAUCAGGGAGAUUGGAAAAAUAUUUUGGAAAAUGGAAACCAAACUAUAUAGCUUGCUACCUAUCAAAGUGUUCAGAUGGAUACCCCUACCCGUUGUGUUGGAAGAGGCUGCAUCAACUCCCUGGAAAGAUGUUUGUGGUGCAAUCCCUCAUAACGCUUUUAUUGAGUGAUAAGUGAGCGUGUCCUCUUCAAGCUUGUGCAUGCAUUCAACAAGUUUUGGACGAAAGGGUUCAAAGUUCUCAAGUUCACUCAAAAAAGUAAAUAGUUCUGAACUGGGUUUGAAUUUUCUGUUUGAAUUAUUUCAGUGUUAAUGAUCUUUUAAACUUCCAUUGGUUGAAAGCUAUUGCUCAGUUAUCACUUGGCUCAUGUAAAUUCUGUAGUUGCCCCUUUAAACAUCCUACAGUCAAUAUCCCCAUAUAUCCCCAUUUCUCUAAUGUAAAUGUAGCAACAUAAAUAUUAAAUAAACAAUUUAUGUGGAGAAGAUCCAGUCUUUGCUCUUUUCUGCAUUACCAUGCUGAUGACUUCAAGUUGUAUUGGAUUUAUUUGUAUCUGUUAAGACAUUGAAUACGUUUAGUAUAUUUUGUAUGUUUAGUAUGUUCAGUUUUCUCUGUGAGAAGCAAGUUCAUUUAAAGUUCUGUGAUCUAAUUUGCAUAUUUGUACUGAGUUUGCUGCAAAUUGGCCAAAGGUUUGCCACAACUGUUUGUUAGAAGCCUAUUUUUUUCAGUAAGUGUACUGUUCCUUUUGAGAGCCCUGUAAAUGUAAAUAGUUAAUUUUAUCCCCAUAGUUGUCUUUGUUGCUUAUUUUAGAUUGAACUAAAUCCAAUGGCUACUCCACUUCACGGGAUCAAAUGUCUGCUAUUCAAUUCCAAGACGGUUGGAGGGCACAUUUUAGGGAAGUCAAAUAAUGCCUCUUGGCUCUGAUUUGCCUUUAGAGAGCUUACACAAGGGAUGAUGUGAAGUCAUGUGACGCUUGUCGGAAAGCAGAUGUGCAAAGCAGACUUAGAAUUCACUACUGGCUGGCCUAUUCUAUAAAGUUGGAUUUUUCCACAGUGUUAGGUCAAUGACACAUUCUAUGCCAAUCUAUGCAAAAAUGCAAUGUUCAUUUAUUAUAAUUUUAGGAGGUUAAAAACGAGUGCUUUCCAUAUUCCACAUAUUUUGUAUUUUUAUGUGGUUGAUGAAAAGAGCUUUG